GGGGCAGCGAGGGAGACACAGAAUCUGAAGCAGGCUCCAGGCCCCCAGCUGUCAGCAAAGAGCCCGAUGCAGGGCUUGAACUCACAAACCUCAAGAUCGUGAC